CUCCCCAGGGCUGAGGGGACAGGAGAACAUCAAGGCAGCCCUGACUCCCUCUCCCUAAGGCUUUGUACUACCUUCUGGUGCCCCUAGAAACCUAGGCUGCAAUUAGCACAAUCCAGCCAACCAUCAGGCCAGCAUCCUCCAGCUGGCCUCAGUCUAGGGGAGAAGUUCUAAUGGUGGAACGGCAGGAAGGAAUACCCAAAGCCCUCCCUGACCCCAGGGCCCUGCCCAUAGACCUGCCCUUGCUGAGUUGGUCUGGCCAGAUGGGCCCAAGUUCUGUGUGUCUGGGGUCACUCCAGCUUUGUGGUCCAGCCCUGCCUGCCCUCUCUGCUCUCAUACCCUGCCUAGGCCACCUCACUCCCCAUUACCCCCACCUGCCCACCCACAGAUCCGGCUGUCCCUGAGUUGCACUUUCCACAAGGCUGUCUUUCCAGGUCCUCCUGGAAAGUGAUGUGAAGUGAUCACAGGUUUGCACGGAGGUGUCACAGCUGGCCAGUGUUUGCUGAGGACAGGGGCUGUGUCAUCACCGAUAUGGACAAGGGGACCUUCAGGUGUGGGUUUGAUGGCUGAGGAGAGGGGCAGAGACACACCAGCUGCGGCUCACCAGGUACAUGGCUAGGCACCAAGCGGAAGCUGCUGGCACUGAGGUGCAGGAAGGUAUUGGCGCUGGGGUCGCGACGCACACAGCGCCCGUGGCCAUGGCACUGGGCCCGGCUGCAAUACUGGGCAGCCCAGGACACGUUGACUACGUAGGGGACCAGCAGCCGCGUCAGGCAGAGGCUGUUUCACUUUCUCAUUAGAUGUUCAAGUCAUUUGCACGCCUACUUUGGCCUCCGUUUCCCAAGCUAACGACCCACUUGAGCUGAAGAUGUAUCUAUCAGGAUAAACCCCAAAGUCAGAAUGCCUAGUUCCAAGACCCUGCUUUGCCCUGGAUGUGCUGGGAAGCUUUGGGAAGAAGAGCGAGAACGUCAGGACUUUGUCUCGAACGCACUCUCCCAAGUUUGGUGGAGGCCCCACCGGGACAAAGGGGUGGCGGACCUCCCUCGGCGGCGCCGGCGGACCGGCCCUUCGCUCCGCAGCCACCGUGAAUGCGCCCCACACCGCCAGACGGGUCCCGGGAGGAGCUCACUCCCCCUGGCCUUUGUGCUGGACCCCGCCCCCGCCCCGCACGUGGGGCCAGUGCCCGGCCGGGUGGGGGUUGGGUUCCUUGGCCGCCCGGCUGAGCGCAUCCCCUGGACUUCUGAACCCAACCUGAAGGAAGAAAGCCGCUAGGCUUGCACUGCCCGCCCUCACCUCGCGCGGGGCGCUGCCGGGACCCACG